CUGGGAACUACAUGAAGGAAAAAUUGACAGUUUGAGUUAUCUUAUAAGAAUUCAGAGUUUAAACGUGGUUGAGGCCUACGGUGCGCCUAGGGCUGAGUAGGUGUGCGAGCAUCAUUUUUUAAAUUAUAAUGCCUGGCGCCUUGAGCCGAAUAUGUGACAGGCGAGCAUAUCUAGGGAGUUGAGUGGUUAAAUAGCAUGACGCACAGCGAGGGUUGAUUGUCGGCUUUCUCAGUGUGAAUGUGUUUGCUAGUCAGCCUGUUGUGUGUGACAUUUUCUUAAGUACGUAUGACAAUCUAUC